rnacentral:rRNA from 1 species
UGAGCAAUCUGCCCUUCUCUUUGGAAUAAGCGUUGGAAACGACGUCUAAUGCCGAAUACGACCUCCUUUCGCAUGAUCGGAGGUGGAAAGCUCCGGCGGAGAAGGAUGAGCUCGCGGCCUAUCAGCUAGUUGGUGAGGUAAUAGCUCACCAAGGCGAUGACGGGUAGCCGGCCUGAGAGGGUGACCGGCCACACUGGGACUGAGACACGGCCCAGACUCCUAGGAGG